rnacentral:misc_RNA from 1 species
GUUUUGUCGUUUUGUCGCUGAGAAAGUGAGGUUUUCUUUUUCCCCGUAUUUUAAUGGAGAAAGUUCUAAACUUUAUUGUGUUCUAUGACAUUUUGUUGGAAUUUUCGAAGGCCCUUAUAUUUAUAUUUUGAAUAUUAUGUGUACAACUUUAUGGAAGGGGCUCUGGAGUGUGAUUUGAACAAACACUUGCAUUGAUUGAGAGU